CGGGGCCUGGCCCGGCGCGGGAGGCGCGGGACGGGCCGACUUGGGGGUCCCGCUGGUCCCCGCUGGUUUCGUAUUUUGCCUCGCUUUUCUCCCCUAGCCCGGAGCACAGCACGCCCUGCCGGAGGUCUUUCAGCGGCCCCAGCCCGGGACCUCCAGCCACACGGGCCUCCGAGCCUCGCCGGCCGCUCUCCCCUGAGAGUUGACAAGACAGCUGUCACAAAGUCCAGCUUUCUGCUGGGGAGGAGACAAGCAAGUCCCCAUGUGGCCAGC